rnacentral:lncRNA from 1 species
CGUUUUCGGACCUCAGUGGGUCCCCAUUGAUAUUCUAAUGUUUUUGUUCUGGAAAGGUUAAGUUCUUUUUGGUGUUAAUGUACUGACGAGGGACCCACUGAGGUCCGAAAAUGUUUUACGUAAUAAAUUCAGAUACUUGCAUUCAGAGCUGUUUAUGAACUUUACUAUGAUACUUGAUAGAUCAAAUAAAACGUUGAGCAGUUUUAAACAGGGAGACAAUGUUUUGGUUGGCAUUAGUCAAUUUGGAGAACCACCAAAUUUAAUUGGAGUUGUUAUUGAUGAGAAAGAUAGAAAAUAUAAGAUUGAUACUGAACAUGGGAUAAUUGAUCAUUGGUUGGAAAGAAUUACUUUGUUCAAU